AAAAUUGGAGACAAUCUAAAUGUUUAAAAAUAGGGAUCCAUUAAGUAAAUUAUUGGGCAAUAUUCUCAGCGCACCCGAGGCGUGCAUUAAAAAUACUGCUGUAAUGUGUGCAAGGGCGGCGGUGCAAGGACAUUCAUUGUAGGCUUAUUUGUCGUAACAAAAGGCCAAACAAGCCUCUGUUGACGGGACCACCUACAUCUGGGGCGUCUCUCUGGGGGGAGGGCGUGGCGCCGCGGAAGGAUCCCUGAGGUGCAUAUGAAAUGCGCGGGUGGGUGCUGCCAUCCGCAGAAGCGCUGCCCAGAAUGGACUUGGAGUCACAGCAUGAUUGCAGUUCGCGUGUCCUCCAAACACAGCUGCAGAAACGAUGGACACCUCCCGUUUGCCACAGGCGAUGAGCCAGCGGCGGCACAUUCCUAACUAAGACCGAGGGACACACAUGCCCAGCGCCUCCUUCCUGCCCCAUGAGGGAAGCGGCACGCGGCUGACUUCAGGGUCAGAGAGACCGAGGCCGAGCCCCCUCCGUCCCUUGUGAGCAGGGACCUCGAGUUGGCCAGCUCACCAUGGACUGUGGACAAUUCUGGCAUAAUCUCCGGUCUCGGUGUCACAGGCAGGCCCCAGAGAGGGGCUCUCUUGGGAAGGACAUCGGGCCUCCUCUUGAGCGGCUCCAUCUCUGGACACAGGCAGUGGGAAAGCCUUCCUCCCAGAGGCUCUAUGUCAAGGGCACCUUUGGUGAACGUGACCUCCAGGCUCAGCAUCCAGAAGGAGCCUGUGUGCGGGGACCCCUUCCCAGGGAGGGAGGAGUCCUCACCUGAGUGACCCUCGUCAAGGGAUGCGGUUCCCCACGUUUGAUGAAACCAGAGGACUUAACUGUGCCUGUUCCGUGCUCUCCCCCAGCGCCCCUGGGCCCCUCCACGUCUGCACACACCCCUGCAGGCUUGCCUCCCAGUGAUGAGGCCCAGGUGUGCUGGGCAAGGCUCCUUCCUUGGUGGAAACCACCAGAAACAGGCAUGGGCCGACUACAGGGGACGUGGCACUACCUGCAGGAUGGGCAGGGACAGCACCGGUCCCCAGGGCCCCAGUCCCCUACCUCCUACUGGCUGUGCUCUCAUCCUCACCCCGGGGGGCUCCUGGGGCCCUAGUGGCUCCAUGUCCUCACCAGUGGGGCAGAGGAGGGGCACAGGAUCCUGCCAGGGGGGGACCCACCUCUUCGUGGAAGAAACUUCUCACUACACUCCACCGGGCACAUUCCGCGAGGCUGAGCCCCCCUCCUCCCGUGGGCCCUGCAGGGAGGGGCGGGGGUCUGCAGAGCCGCUGGGGGUCAGGGUGCCGCUGCUGGACUCCAGUGCGGGGUCUCACAAGCGUGGUUUAUAAAUCGCAAAUGUGAA